rnacentral:rRNA from 1 species
CAGCCGCCACGAUAAUACAGAGGGUGCGAGCGUUAAUCGGAUUUACUGGGCGUAAAGCGUGCGUAGGCGGCUUUUUAAGUCGGAUGUGAAAUCCCUGAGCUUAACUUAGGAAUUGCAUUCGAUACUGGGAAGCUAGAGUAUGGGAGAGGAUGGUAGAAUUCCAGGUGUAGCGGUGAAAUGCGUAGAGAUCUGGAGGAAUACCGAUGGCGAAGGCAGCCAUCUGGCCUAAUACUGACGCUGAGGUACGAAAGCAUGGGGAGCAAACAGGAUUAGAUACCCCCGUAGUCCCUGUCUCUUAUAC